rnacentral:rRNA from 1 species
UACAGAGGUCUCAAGCGUUGUUCGGAUUCAUUGGGCGUAAAGGGUGUGUAGGUGGCGCGCUAAGUCGGGUGUGAAAUUUCGGAGCUUAACUCCGAAACUGCAUUCGAUACUGGCGUGCUUGAGGACUGGAGAGGAGACUGGAAUUCACGGUGUAGCAGUGAAAUGCGUAGAGAUCAUGAGGAAGACCAGUGGCGAAGGCGGGUCUCUGGGCAGUAACUGACGCUGAGGAGCGAAAGCGUGGGGAGCGAACAGG